GAAGAGAACAAAAACAAUUAAAUAUUGAAAACAUUCAUUUUGGACUAGAGUACAUGAAUAUUAUGAGAAAAAUAAAAAAUCCACAUCUUGUGAACGUAGUUCCAGCUCUCUCACAAAUAGAUGGUCAACUAUCCAACAUACUACAAAUAAGUUUUGUGGGGCCUUAGCUUAAAUCAAAUGAAGGUCUCCAAGUGGGACUACUGAGCAAGAUAAGAUUGAGCAAGCAAAGGAGCUCUAUCGAAGUAACCAGUCUGCAACAUUCAACUUCUUUCAUUGUUAGACUAUUCUAAGGCACCAUCCAAAAUGGAAAUAGACUGUGGCUAAGGGCAGUGUGUAAACUAAGAGAAGAUCAGUAACUCUAGAUGCUCAUGUGCUAGAGUUUACAAUUCUAGAUGAAAACGUCAUAUCUCCAUCUAUAAAUAGAAAUAGAAGAGAGCAAAUGCUGAGAAGGAAGAAAAUAGGAAAGAGAUUGUCCGCCUUACAAAAGAGAGGCUUGAUUUGGAUUAACAAAGAGAAGAUAAUGAAAUUAUAAGGAUGGACACAUCAAGUCUGCCUCCAAUGCAGCAAGAGUGUGUUUGUAGCCUUCAAUUGGAAAUACUUGAGAAGCAAAGGUCUACAAAACCAUAAUUGGGUUUGAUAUGGGUUGCAAAUGAAUAUUUUUUGAAAGGUAAUAAUGCAGCCACUUUUGGGAAUGUUCUUUUAAUAGUUUUUUUGUCUAGAACACAAUACAAACCUGAAGCUUAUGUCCAGCCACAUUUGGGAAUGCAGGUUUGAUAGUUUUUUGUAUGGAAUACUCUACAAAACCUGAAGUCACAACAUAGCUAGUGGAUAGUUUUUAUUUUUUAUUUUUUAUUUUUUAUUUUUUUUGUGUAUAGAACACAGUACAAGUCAUACACUAAACUGUCUUAAUAGUUUAAUGUGUUCUUUGUUGGGGAAGUUAUGAUGGUGGCACACUAAAGUGAUGUUGUGAAUGAUUUAACUUUAAUAGCUUGGCUGAAUGAGCAUGAACUGACCAAAACUAUGGCAUUGUUAACUUUAAUUAUGUGAAUGAAUGAGCCCAGAACUAUGGCAUUACUAUUUUCA